GAGUUUGAUCAUGGCUCAGAACGAACGCUGGCGGCGCGUCUUAAGCAUGCAAGUCGAACGGCAAGAGAGGAGCUUGCUCUUCUCCUAGAGUGGCGGACUGGUGAGGAACACGUGGGUAAUCUACCCUUAAGAUGGGGAUAGCCGUUAGAAAUAGCGGGUAAUACCGAAUAGCCUUAAAGCGUCAUAAGAAGUUUUAAGGAAAGGAAGCUAAGGCUUCGCUUAAGGAUGAGCCUGCGUCCCAUUAGCUAGUUGGUAGGGUAACGGCCUACCAAGGCGACGAUGGGUAUCCGGCCUGAGAGGGUGAUCGGACACAUUGGGACUGAGAUACGGCCCAAACUCCUACGGGAGGCAGCAGCUAAGAAUAUUCCGCAAUGGACGGAAGUCUGACGGAGCGACGCCGCGUGGAUGAAGAAGGCUGAAAAGUUGUAAAAUCCUUUUGCCGAUGAAGAAUAAGGAUAAGAGGGAAUGCUUGUCUGA
rnacentral:rRNA from 1 species